rnacentral:rRNA from 1 species
UACGUAGGGUCCGAGCGUUGUCCGGAAUUACUGGGCGUAAAGAGCUCGUAGGUGGUUUUGUCGCGUUGUUCGUGAAAACUCACAGCUUAACUGUGGGCGUGCGGGCGAUACGGGGCAGACUUGAGUACUGCAGGGGAGACUGGAAUUCCUGGUGUAGCGGUGGAAUGCGUAGAGAUCGGUAAGGAACACCAAUGGCGAAGGCAGCUUGCUGGCAUGUAUCUGACGCUAAGGCACGAAAGCGUGGGGAGCGAACAGG